CUACGUGCCAGCAGCCGCGGUAAUACGUAGGUGGCAAGCGUUGUCCGGAAUUAUUGGGCGUAAAGCGCGCGCAGGCGGAUUGGUCAGUCUGUCUUAAAAGUUCGGGGCCUAACCCCGUGAUGGGAUGGAAACUGCCAAUCUAGAGUAUCGGAGAGGAAAGUGGAAUUCCUAGUGUAGCGGUGAAAUGCGUAGAUAUUAGGAAGAACACCAGUGGCGAAGGCGACUUUCUGGACGAAAACUGACGCUGAGGCGCGAAAGCCAGGGGAGCGAACGGGAUUAGAUACCCCGGUAGUCCUGGCCGUAAACGAUGGGUACUAGGUGUAGGAGGUAUCGACCCCUUCUGUGCCGGAGUUAACGCAAUAAGUACCCCGCCUGGGGAGUACGACCGCAAGGUUGAAACUCAAAGGAAUUGACGGGGGCCCGCACAAGCGGUGGAGUAUGUGGUUUAAUUCGACGCAACGCGAAGAACCUUACCAGGUCUUGACAUUGAUGGACAGAACUAGAGAUAG
rnacentral:rRNA from 1 species